rnacentral:piRNA from 1 species
UAAGCCAAAGUAAAUGGUUUUAUAAGUUGCC